rnacentral:lncRNA from 1 species
CAUGGGGGUCGAGCCAAACUAUUCCUUUGCAUUUUCAACACGGACAUAAAACCUCUAUCCGGUUAUUUUCUUUCAUGUCCCGCACCGCCGACCGCAACCACCUGUCCACCAUCGUUCCACUGACCAUCGUCAACUCUGCAAUGUAAUAAUAAACAAAUUGAUUAUAAAAAUGCGUGCAUGCAUCAAAGUCAUACAAAAAUUCAGCAUGACCUUACUUAAAAAUAGGACAUAUAUAGAUCUAGAGUUUGCCCGGAAUUCGCCGAAACGGAAAUAAAUCGACAUUUCGGCAAAACAUAGGCAACUCAAAAGCACAAUUUGGCAUCAACUCAUGCCAUACAUACAAUUUCCAUAAACAUAUCACACACACAUAAACAUAUUUCCAUUUUGCAAAAGCAUGAAAUUUUAAUCACCUCUAUCUCGAGAUCGAGCACACGGUGGAGAUGAUGAUGUAGGGAUAUCAAAAGUGCACAAAGCUCUUCUUGACAAAGAUAGAUCUAGUUAGGGGGCAAAUAGGUCACUUAACUAAAUGCUACAUCUACCUAGCUACCUAAUUUGGGAGGAGACAACUUCAACUAGUGGAGGGGGAAGGAAAAAGAGAAAGGAGAUGCAUUAUUGGAGGUGGUGUAGUUAGGUAGGAUUAAUGAAGAGAGAGAAAGGUAGGUAGAAGAGGGAGAGUAAUGGGGAGA